AUCGCUUCUCGGCCUUUUGGCUAAGAUCAAGUGUAAAAAACUAUUUAGGCAACAUUAUUGAGAUUCUUUUUAAUUUUGUUGAACAGGCACAUCUUCAAGUGAAUCUAAUCUGCUUAACAUUCCUUCGCAAAAAAGAACUCGAAGAAA
rnacentral:snRNA from 1 species